CCUGACGGAGCAACGCCGCGUGAGGGACGAAGGCCUCUGGGCUGUAAACCUCUUUUCUCAAGGAAGAAGAUAUGACGGUACUUGAGGAAUAAGCCACGGCUAAUUCCGUGCCAGCAGCCGCGGUAAUACGGGAGUGGCAAGCGUUAUCCGGAAUUAUUGGGCGUAAAGCGUCCGCAGGCGGCUUUUCAAGUCUGCUGUUAAAACGUGGAGCUUAACUCCAUCAUGGCAGUGGAAACUGAAAGGCUUGAGUAUGGUAGGGGCAGAGGGAAUUCCCGGUGUAGCGGUGAAAUGCGUAGAUAUCGGGAAGAACACCAGUGGCGAAGGCGCUCUGCUGGGCCAUUACUGACGCUCAUGGACGAAAGCCAGGGGAGCGAAAGGGAUUAGAUACCCCUGUAGUCCUGGCCGUAAACGAUGAACACUAGGUGUCGGGGGAAUCGACCCCUUCGGUGUCGUAGCUAACGCGUUAAGUGUUCCGCCUGGGGAGUACGCACGCAAGUGUGAAACUCAAAGGAAUUGACGGGGGCCCGCACAAGCGGUGGAGUAUGUGGUUUAAUUCGAUGCAACGCGAAGAACCUUACCAGGGUUUGACAUCCUGCGAACCUCUUAGAAAUUUGAGGGUGCCUUCGGGAAUGCAGUGACAGGUGGUGCAUGGCUGUCGUCAGCUCGUGUCGUGAGAUGUUGGGUUAAGUCCCGCAACGAGCGCAACCCACGUUUUUAGUUGCCAGCAUUUAGUUGGGCACUCUAGAAAGACCGCCGGUGAUAAACCGGAGGAAGGUGUGGAUGACGUCAAGUCAUCAUGCCCCUUACACCCUGGGCUACACACGUACUACAAUGCUACGGACAAAGGGCAGCAAACUCGCGA
rnacentral:rRNA from 1 species